rnacentral:lncRNA from 1 species
CCCGUGGCCGGUAAAGGCCACGCGGCGCUCCUAGCGGGUGCUAGUACUGGCGCGGGAGGCGGGAGGUUGGAGGCGAGGAGCUCGCGGCCUAGGCUGUUUGGGUCCCUGGCGCGAGCUGUAGACGGAGAGAGGGGUCCGGAGAAGGAGGGGUGAAAGUAGCAGUUAGCCCGCGAUCUCAGAAGGGCUGCCCGCCCCUCACGGUCCCUUAAUAGCACGUUGCGUCCUGGAAGUUCUAAAACGUCCCGCUUCAAUAUGAAUUUUAAAUUAGUGAAAACAUAUGUGUAUUGUUUUAGGCUUUCCCACCGCGGGGACGGCCCUCCGGGGGUUGACUUAGCUGGGAUGCAGAAUAGAAGCUGGGCCUUUGUCUGACUACCCUGCAACAGUCAGCCACAGACGGGAAGGCAGCGCAGGAAACUGAGGCCAAAGGAGCCGCGCUUCCUCAUGAGCAUGAAGCGGCAAAGCCUGAACUAGAAGCUUCUAACGCCUAACCGUCCUCUUGCCGCACCAGGACCUACCUCUGCAAGGCCCUUCCUGACUUUUUCCUUAGAAUGUGUGUAUAUGUGUCUUUUUCCUUUUCUGAUGCUAAGACACCUCAGAAACACCAAUGUUAAGCAGAUUUCCAUCGUUGGAGGUUAAAACACCCGAAUACAAGUGUUUUCUUGAGUGUGGCAUCUGGUCAGAUGUUUUAUGGGUUGGUUUGUUUUUAAAAAAAAAAAAUUUCCUGUUAGAUGGGUGGUAAGAACCAGUCAGAGUUUGUAAACCCACCAAGCACGAGGCGGUCGGACCGUCCAGAUUCUGGAGUCCAGAAGACACCAAACGUUCUCAGAAUGCCGAACGCGGGCGCCACCUGGUGGGACUAGAACGCUUAUUGUCCCAAAUCAGCAUAGCACACAGUUCCCAUAAAUCUUAAAAAUUCCCAUCCAAGGCUCAUUUCCGUGUGACUAAAAGUCAUAUUCUCUGUUCUCGUGACUCCAAGUAAAAAUGUCCCUAAAGAGCCAAAGUAUCUUCACUGUAUAAACUAAUAAUCUAUUGGUUUGGGGAAUUUUAUUUUUUGUGAUCAAUGUUACUUUAGCCUUUCUAUGAUAUACAUAUAAAUAAAAAAGUUUUCUUCCAUGAUGAUUUUUUAAAGUUUAUUUUAUAAAUAAACUUUUUCUUUUUGUCUCUCCCUUCCCCCACUUUGCAACCAGAGCAAUUCUGCUUUCACAGGGGUUUGUAUUUGGGCUCUUACGAAGCUUUUGUUUGAAGAAAGAGUUCCAUGGCAACGCAAAGAUUGGACGAGGUUACUGUUGAAGUCCCUUCCAGCUCUAAGAUUGCAAAAUUCUAUUAAAUAAUCCCCGUUCUCAGUACUUAUGUAGACACCUCAGACCACUUUACUGCCCUCCCUAAACAGUUGAAUGAGACUUGCCCCCACAUGAUUUCUUACCUCAUUCUGAAUCACUGCUCGUGAGAGGAUUGCAUCCGCAGUCUGUGCUUAAGACACAUCUUCCAGAGCCAAGUGGAAGGGUUCCUGCUCCCUUUCUUGCUCCUAAGGUGGGAAAUACAGAGGCCGCCUUUGUCUUUCGCCUAUUGUUCCCAUGGUCAAGGGAAAGAGGACUCCUCGAGGGUGCUGGAGCUUCAUAAAUCUCUGACCUUAGUGACCCAAUGUUUCUUCAAAGAUCCCCUGUAUGAUGGGGUUAACGUCCCAUAAGGGAUCUGGCAGGAGCCUCCACACCCCUGCUGAGCGCUGCCCUGUCCCCUCCAGCUCCCAAGCAGCUUCCACAUCAUUCAUGCCCUUUCUUCCCCUCCAAAGCCUCAUUCAAGAGUAGUUUAAAAUCACCAUUAUCAUUCUCCAUGCAGUUAAAGUCAGAUUUACCCACCAUGAAUUAGCCAAAAGUCAUAUAAGAUGCAUGUCUGUCCUUUGAAGCCAAUUCCAAGACAUCUGCAAAAUAAGGUACCUGCAAGUUCUAAUACAUUGACUAAGGAAAUAAACAACAGUAAAAAAGAUGCAACUAUUCCAGGAUCUUAAAAACCCACUGGGACAUUCACAAUGUGAUCAAAGUUUCAAAUGCACAGAUUAAGAAAACAUCCCCGUGGCCACAUUUACCUGGA